ensembl:lncRNA
GUGAUGACCUCGCACUGGAACGUUCGCCUGCCGAGUGUGAAGCGGUGGAAAUGAGAAUCAGCACCUCCACAUCUGAGGCAAUGGUCCUCAGCUGGAAAAGUGUGGAGUGCCCACUCCGGGUCAGGUUUCUAUUGUUCUAUUCUUCUAAGCCCUUUUGAAUUGUAGCUCCAGUUUCUGGUUUUUAGCAAACAGGACUUCAGCUUCUGUAGAACAGAUUCUGUUAAUGUUCCACCUGCCAUGCAUUCGGAGAUGCUCUUCUACAUACUGUAAUGAGUGCUUAUUUGAGUUAAUAUUGCCUUCCUCUUUUCUUGGAGCAGCCUGGCCAGUCGAGGUAACCGGAUAUUUUCUCUUUUUUGGACAGUUCUCAGAAAACCCUAGAGAUGGUUGUGUGGGAAAGUCCAAGCAGACCAGAAACUCCUUAAAUAUUCAGAACAAUCUGUCUGACACCAGAAACUUUCUUCCCCCUUCUGAUGCUCAAUUUGACCUUCAGCAGGUUGUCUUCAACAUGACUAUAUACAUAUAUGCACUGAGUUGCUUUUUUUUUUUUUUUUUUUUUUGCCUGUUCCGUCUGGCUCUUUUGCCAUCAGAAUUAUUGUCUAAAGGCAAAGAAAGAUGCCCAACGGAUUUACUUUACCAAAUUGACCAUCCCAGCCUUGCCGUAAUGGUCCAUUUGAUUCACCUUUUAUUGUUUAUUUUAUUUUCACUUACUGAAUACGGGACAGACUUGACUGGGGGAAAGAAGGGGAGAAAGAAAGAGGGAAAGAGAAACAGCUGAGAAGAGGGACGGGGGAGAAGGGCAAAAGACAAAAACCAACAGAACGGGCAGAGAGAAAAAAAAUGCAUAUAUCAAUCACCUGGGUCACCUGCUGAGAAAGAAAAAAGAAAACAAGCAGAAGAGAACAAGAGUAAUAGAAUAAACAACAUCACAAUGAUAUAUGGGAAUAUGACAGUAAAUACUAAAUAUUAAACAUUAUUGUGCAGCACAUAAGAUCAACAGAACACAGUGUGCUUUGAGGUAGGAGCCAAAAAGGGUGUAGUUUGUGGGUGUGAUCACCCGUGUGUACACCUGUGAGCAUGGACGCGCUUGUUUUUUGUUUUUUAAAAGGUUCCUUCAUGUAAUGAUCUGCUAGAGGGUGUGGGGGGGUCACAGCCCCGUCCUCCAGGGCAUGAAGCAGGUGUGGAGGAGAUCAAAACUCCAGACAUCCAGAGGCCCCCAGAACACAAGAGACCAAGGAAGACCAACAGAGGGGCAGCUGCGCCACUGUCCCGGAAAGAGCUGAGGAGAGUCCCAGAUGAGGGCUCACUCAGCAGCCGCGGAGCAGAAGCCAGGGGGGGUUGCAGUGACGCGCCCGUGAGCUCCGCCAGCAGCCAGCCGCGCCUGAGUGACCGAGCCCCAGGCCGAGAGGCCGGGGGCACCCCACCUCCGAAGUGGCCCGAGCGAGCCCCAGGCUCCGGGCCCCGAUAAGCGGCCGCCAAGGAGUGAGCCGG